GACGAACGCUGGCGGCGUGCUUAACACAUGCAAGUCGAACGGGCCUUGUCCCCUUUUUUUUUGGGGGUGGGGUUAGUGGCGAACGGGUGAGUAACACGUGAGUAACCUGCCCCUCACUUCUGGAUAACCGCUUGAAAGGGUGGCUAAUACGGGGUGUUCUGGCCUGCUCGCAUGGGUGGGUUUGGAAAGAUUCGACCGGUUUUGGUUGUUUUGGUGGGGGAUUGGCUCGCGGCCUACCAGCUUGUUGGUGGGGUGAUGGCCUGCCAAGGCUUUGACGGGUGGCCGGCCUGAGAGGGUGGGCGGUCACACUGGGACUGAGACACGGCCCAGACUCCUACGGGAGGCAGCAGUGGGGAAUAUUGCACAAGGGGCGCAAGCCUGAUGCAGCGACGCCGCGUGAGGGAUGGAGGCCUUCGGGUUGUGAACCUCUUUCGCCAGUGAAGAAGGUCCUGCUCUUUGUGGUGGGGUUGACGGUAGCUGGGUUAAUGAAGCGCCGGCUAACUACGUG
rnacentral:rRNA from 1 species